CAAGACUGCAAUCGAUCCCUGAAGACAGAGAAAUAUAAGAAGUAAACCUCAUGAUAAUCUUGGCUCUCUGCCUGGCGAAAUUUUCCUGACUGCAGUGCAGCGACCGGAAUCCAAGCAGAGCACGACAGUCCCUCUGAGCAGAGGAGGAAGAGAUCAGAGGUUGGGCACUGAAGGGCUGGAGUCUGCAAGGCAGGGCCCCGGAGAGACGGGAGCUGUGCAGAUUAUAUCAAUGAAAUCCCGAGACCAUCCAUACCGAGCCCUCUAAUUCUAAUCCAAUAGCACUAGGCUUGUCCUAAGCCCUGUUUCUGGCUGUCUUUUAGAAACCCAGUUUGAGAGCAGAUUGCCAAGGAUUCUCAACAUUGGCUGCAUAUUGUGAUGGACUUGGGAGCUUGUGAAAAGCUAAUGCCUUUGGUUGUCAUCCCGGACCAAUUCAAUCAGGUUCUCUGAGGGUAAAAUCCAUCUAACAGUGUGUGAUUCCUCAAGAAUCAUCUGUACAUCUGGUCAAAAUGAAGAUUCUGAUUCAAUACAUCUGGAGUGGCAACUGAGUGUCUGUGUUUCUGACAAGCUCAUGCUUGCUGGUUGGUUCACGGACCACAUUUGUGAGUAUCAACAGCCUCAGCCUUGCUCCUCUGUCUUCUGUAGCAAAAAUUGCUAUGGAGGAAUGUGGGGCUCCCUGCUGGUGUUUCCCUUGCGGGGGGGAUUGCUUCCUAUUCCUGGAUGUUCAUGUGAUUCUCUUCUUAUCUUUGAAAUCCGCAUAUAGUUAGGUUACAUGUGGCAACAAGGUAUAGAAUAAAGAUUUCCACAUUGAUACUACAUUUGCUUCUGAACUCUUAUUUUAUUUUAUUUUAUUUUUUGCUUCUAAGGCCUCUGAGGCUCAACUCCACCAGAGCUGCAGCUCUUUCUUCCUGAGGAUGUCCCAUAGGACUGACAGGAUGGCCUACCCAGUGGCUGAGAUGCUGGUUUUCUUUAUUUGUACAUGUUACAAUAAAAUGUCCAUCACUUGCGGUUA